rnacentral:rRNA from 1 species
GCCAAAAACCUAGCCCUAAUUUUUCUACACACAAAACUUCAUGUAUUUAAUAUUAUUAAAACAUUUUAACGACUUAGUAAAGGCGAUUGAAAAACUAUUUAGAGCUAUAAAUAUUGUACCGCAAGGGAACGAUGAAAUAAUAAUGAAACAUAAAUCAAGCACAAAAAAGCAGAGUUUACACCUCGUACCUUUUGCAUCAUGAUUUAACUAGUCAUAUCAAGCAAAACGAAUUUAAGUUUGAACCCCCGAAACUAAGUGAGCUACUUCGAGGCAGUUUAACGAGCGAACCCGUCCCUGUUGCAAAAGGGUGGGAAGACCCCCAAGUAGAGGUGAAAAGCCUAC